AUCUUUUUAGUAUAGAAAUAUGUGAGGCUUCCAACCUUGAGACCUUGGUGAAAGCCCAAGAAAAGAUA
rnacentral:tRNA from 1 species